rnacentral:rRNA from 1 species
AUUGAACGCUGGCGGCAUGCCUAACACAUGCAAGUCGAACGGAGGUAGGGGCAACUCUACUUCAGUGGCGGACGGGUGAGGAAUGCGUCGGAAUCUACCCUAUGGUGGGGGAUAACACAGAGAAACUUGUGCUAAUACCGCAUAAUGUCGAGAGACCAAAGCAGGGGACCGCAAGGCCUUGCGCGAUAGGAUGAGCCGACGCCCGAUUAGCUAGUUGGUAGGGUAAAGGCCUACCAAGGCGACGAUCGGUAGCUGGUCUGAGAGGAUGAUCAGCCACACUGGGACUGAGACACGGCCCAGACUCCUACGGGAGGCAGCAGUGGGGAAUAUUGGACAAUGGGCGCAAGCCUGAUCCAGCAAUGCCGCGUGUGUGAAGAAGGCCUGCGGGUUGUAAAGCACUUUUGUUCGGGAAGAAAUCAUGCUGGUUAAUACCUGGUAUGGAUGACGGUACCGAAAGAAUAAGCACCGGCUAACUUCGUGCCAGCAGCCG